AGAUUUGAGGAAUCGGCUCGCAGUCCAUGUACACCGCGCACCACACGCAUGACCUCACCCAUCCGCAACGCCGCCUCCCCCAGCAUCCGCCGCCGCCGCGCCGGGCGAGAGCGCCAUGGAUGGUGCUACCGUGCGAGCACGGCAUGUCAUGGUAGUAUAUUCUCCAUCGUCUUGGGCCAUCUCCGCCGCUGAUUAGAAGCCAUCUGUUCGCUCCUCGUCUCCUCUCUUUCAGCAUCACCGCCACCGCCAGUACCGGCCGUCUCCGCCGCCGAUUGGCGCCGCCAUGGAGCAGCCGGACUACGCUUAUUACCCAUCUACUCCCUCUCUCGUUCUCGCUGUCGCCGCCGCCCAGUACUGCCGCCUCGCUAUUCUGCUGCUAACCCUAGCCGCCUCUACCCAAGAUGAGGAGAUGCCUUGGAUCGCAGCCAUCGUACAUCGGAAUCUACAUGAGUGAAGGUUCAGCAGCGGAGGGCUACAUGGGGCAUCACCAUCCUCCAUAGCAGACGUGAUGAACAGCGGGACGGUCGGAAGGAGUUCCUUCGAGUCCCCGGCCACAUCUCCGGUGAGCCAUGUCUGGCGGCGGGUGCAGCGUCUGUACAAUCUGGAUCUCACGCCGCUCGAAGCGGUCGCCUUUUUCAGCAAGGCUGGCAUGCACUUUGGGGAGGCAUAUGUGAACAUCGAAGAGCUUUGUGCACUUCAUAUGCGAGCGUCAGUUUGAGCUUUGUGCCCUUUGGCUUUGACGAUGCAUGAUGAGAAGCGAUGACUGUCAGGUGUAAGCUAUCAACACAGAUUUGUUCAUUGGAGACGAUGCUACAGUUUCCUUAUUCUGCCAAUACGUUCCCCCCUCUCUUCAGUUUGGUCGUCCUUUGGUCGUCCACCUCCCCACCGCGCACCACAAGGUCCUUCCAAGGCAGAAGCUAGAGUUGUGAAGAUCAAGGAUUGAAUUCCAGUUUCUACAGACACAGUAGCCAUCCGUCCUCGCCCCAUGUGCUCCGCCCAACAAGGUAUGAGCUCCCUUUAUGUUUAGAAAUAGGGUUGAUUUUCUUGGAAUUUUUCAGUACUACAUAUAAUAUUGGCAUUGCAUGUUAUAUGUACAUGUUUAUUUGGUUAACCAUUCACCAAGUGCAUGCAAUAUUUUCUGUCCCACGCUGCGGCGAGGAUGGAGGCAUAGAAGGAGCGUGACGGUGCGGGCUCGCAGCCCUACCUUUCCGAUUCGCCUCCUUAUCUGUAGUGGCUGCUACUCAAUCAAUCUAACCUGCACAAAUCGGAAUAUGGUGGCAGCGUUGCAUGAACGGAUGCAUACAUGUAUCUGAUCCUCUAUGAGUUCAUUAACUACACGAAAAGCUAUACAGGAAUGUUUACACCACCAUGCAGCACUUGUCGGGAGAGGAAGCGUCUUUUGACAGGACAUCUGAAAUUAAAAUGUGUGUGAUAGAAAAAGGCUUCUACAUGACUAUAUGAUUUGCUGCAUGAGACCAGAUGAUUCUUCUGGUUAAUGCAUUUGUGAGAAAUCCAAGAACAAAGGAGAAACUGGUAUUCAGGGUUAAGAGGGCCAGAGGGCCAGCCUCAUGGAUUACUUCCAACAACAUCCGGAGGGUGCAGUACUACAUAUUUUGAUUGAUUACCAAGUGUUGGUGUACUAUACUCUUCAGUUCUUCAGAACUUUAUGAACUCGAGUGAGAUUCUCUGAAGAAAAAAGUUAAGGAGACAAUACUCAGUAUCUACUUCAAUCUCAAUUAUAAACACAAGAUGUGUGUGUGUUGUCAAGUGCAAACCUCUAGAGAUUGAUUUCACUAUCAUGCAAUACUUAAGGAUCAAGGUUUGUGGUUGAUACAUUAAAAUUCUGCUCUUUUACUUAUGGUGACAUCCCAAUGUAAAUGGAUCAUUAGGUUUGUUAUGUGCACUACCAUGACCUCCAUCGAUAAUGGUACCAUCUUCUAUAGUUUUAUGGUCGUCAGUCGAGUUCUGCACACAGAUUAGCAAUGAAGGUGCAGUGCUGGAGUUGAAGGUUGAGGUGAGUGGCACACAAAGGAGGGGCGAAUAGAAAUGGAGGCAAAGCUGGUAUAUAUAUUUCUUUUUAAAUUUGGGAUAACGCUAGAGCGACUGGAGUUGGGUAAUGUUGAGUCACCGCGCCUACUAUAUAUAUGUAUAGCAGGACAUUGGAAUAUCUUUCGCGAAAUUGAUUGAGAUAUGUUCAAAUUUAUGAA